rnacentral:lncRNA from 1 species
CAGCUCUAAAGUGCUGGUUACAAGGUUUUGCAAUUAACCAGAUAUGGACCCUGAGCUCUACAAAAGCCCACGUCUCCGUGUGAUUUGUUGUAUGCUCCGUGACUUUCUCUUGAAGGAAUGAAUUGGAUUUUGCUUUGGUUUGAGCAAGUAGGGAAGUCAAGAAGGAAUGGACUUAAAACUUCAGAAGGGCCCAUUUUGCACGACUCUGAAGACUGAGAAAACAUUUGACAGUGGAGAGCUUACUUCCGGUUUAUACUGAAUUUUUUCCCACAGACUUAGCAAAUAUUCACCAUGUGCCCACAACGAGCCAGGGACUGUGGAAGGUUCUGGAAAUGCAUUGAUGAACAAGAUAGCCAAGAUCCCUGACCAUAUUCAAUCAGUCUUUUGCCCUGCUCUACACAUAGAUGUAUUGUGUCCUCUUGUAAUCUGGUUCGACACUAGGCAUAUUUCUCCAGAUUUAAGUAAAUAAAACUGCAACAUGACUGAAUCUUUCAUUUGGUCUUUGGCGCCUGCAGCAGAAUCUCUUGGUGGCAUUAGCCCAAAGGGUCAGCUAAUCUGAGUUUUUCAUGUCAGGGAGGUGGAAAUCUCAUGCUCACGGUGGCCUUCAGAAGCUCAGUCCUGAGCACACUGCAUAGAACUUAUGCCUCUAAAGAGGAAGCCUGGUCUAUGUGAACUGAGGGAACACUUCACCCAUCCAGCUAAGAAAUGGGCUUGCCUGACUCCACAAUGAGGAACUCUUCCAGGUCUCCAUGGGAAUUAGAGAAUGCUUGUUCCCCUCAGCCUUUGAAGAUGCAUAGCCAUCGUCCUUGGUGAAACAUGCUCUUACUGAGUGCAUCACUCCCAUCAUCAUUGUGAAAGCUUGAAAUCUCUCAUGUUAGCUUAGGACCAUUGCUGUUUCUCACCCUGUGGGUGAGCAGCCUUCGUGGACAGAUCAUUAUAAUUUCACUGUUGCAGCUUCCUCUGCAUAAAAUCUGAAGUCCUCAGUACAUUUGACAUCCCAUAGAAACCUUACUCUUAAAGAUUUUAAUCUGACUCUUCUCUAAUCCUCCAUACCUAUGUUAAGCUUCCACACCUUUGUACUCUACCCCUCUUUCAAGGGCCAUUUUCAGUUGUACCUCUUCAAUAGACCAUUGCU